GUAGGGGACCUAUAAGAGAGAUGGCAGAGUGUGGUUUGGUGAGGAGAGCCCUGUGGUUUGGAUUAAGAAAUGUGUUUUAACUCUGCCACUAUCUCUAAAGCACCAUUGGUUAUAUAGUCUCUAUGGUAGAGACUGACAGGCUAUUCACCAAAUCAGUAUCGUUUCUUCAUGGAUAACAGCCAAACCUAGUUCCCAGCCUUCCUUACAGUCAGCUAGGUGAUAUGUAGGGUUGGCAUUGAAGAUCACAGAUCUCUUGAAGAUCCUCUCAGCAUUCAGGAUGGCCAAGCAGGGUAGCUGGAAUGCCAAGCUUGGCACCUCAGACAAAGACAGGGAGGACACUCUUCUGUCCAUUCAAGAUCUCCUAGGGGAAGGAGGAGACUCUUCUACAUUCUCCUGCAAGGAUAGAGAAAAGGGGGUAGACUAUAGAAGAGAGAGAAAACAAAACAUCUGUCAGAGCCUACCAGUUAGUUCAUGGAAAGGAAGCAGAAGGAGUAGUAGCAUAAAAUCUGGGAGACUCCAGGCCAGAGACUGAGGAUGUCAUUUGCUGUUGCACCUGGCUGUUGGCAGAUCUUGGGGUUAUAAACCCUGAAUCAAUGGAGGCUAAAGCAGUGACAACAAGCUUCUACUCCACGAUCACAUCUCUUACUGUGGGUCUGUGCUUAAAUCAUUCCAGCCUCAAAUCCUUUUAGAACUGAAGAUCUCAGCUGGUCCCAAGUGAAUCUCCAUUUGUGUUCCCUCUUCAAUAAAGUCUUCUUCUCAACACAGAGGAGGAUGUGAAAGCCACGGCUCCUGAAGGCACUGUCCCUGCUAUUUGAAAGACCAAGACAUAUAUACACACGUAUGUCCUGUGUGUGGAUAACUUACAACAAAGUAUUCUGAUCCUGAAUGUAUGUACAGUAGAAUGUUAACUCCUUCUAGGCAUAGAAGUAGCACCAUAUGUCCCUGUAGUAGGAAUGUGUCCCAAUCCUAGAAUGAUGGGGUUGUAUUUGGUAUGUGACUCUAAAGUCAAACUUACUAUUGAAAUGUAUAACUGAUCUACAAAGAUAUUUAUAAGCCUCCCUCCCCUCUAUUUUAAUAAAGUGAAUGAAGGAUAAUUCCAGACAUUUUAUGUUUUUUAAAAAAAAUCUUUGAAACAUUUAUAUAGUGUUUCUUAUGUAACAAGCAUUAUGCAACAAACAUUGCUCUACAUCUUUUUACAGAUAAUAAUUUAAUUCCCUGUGAGCAGGAUACAACUAUCACUCCCUUUUAUACAUAAGAAAAUGAGGAACAGAGAUUAGAUUAUUUACCCAAAUUCACACAGCCAGUUAGAGCUGGAAUUCUGAUCCUUCUAGUCUAGAGCCACAGUCUAUAUC
ensembl:lncRNA